AUUCACUGACGAGUCCGAAACAGGACAAAAGGCGCGUGGUGAAU
rnacentral:hammerhead_ribozyme from 1 species